CCCCACAGUACCUUUUUGAAUGUACCUGAUCUCAAAAGCUAAGCAGGGUCAGACCUGGUUAGUACUUGGACAAGAGAAAUGUAAAGAUCAGGUUCAGUAGGUU
rnacentral:rRNA from 1 species